CACAUGGGGUCGGUGAGCUCUGGAGAAACUAGCAGCUCGCGAAGGAAUGCUACAUGGUGAUCCUAUGAGGAACAACACCUGUGGAAUAGCCGAUAGAUGAGCUAGAUGCACGAGAUGAGAAAGCUGAACAAAGGGGACAUCUUGUGAAAGACCUAAAAUCAAUGCCUAUUGAUGAAGAUCCAAGCAAAGUAGUGAAGAUUGGCUCGAACC
rnacentral:lncRNA from 1 species